rnacentral:lncRNA from 1 species
CAUUGCAUGAUUUGAAAGUAAAGUGACAGAUGUUUACAAAUAUAAUGUAACGUAUUUACCUUCAAAUGUAAGCCAAACUUCGGAAUUCUUGAUCCGAAAAUGUCUCUCUUCCAUUGCUGAUAGGAACACCUCAAUAGAAGGAGCCAAGAAAUAGCACUUUUCCUUCUCCAAGCCCUUCCCUUCAACCUCUCCUCCUCUCUCCCAGUUCCUCAAAAAUCCAUCAUCUAUCUUUGCUUCUGACAAGAGGGAACAGCCAUGAACAUUAUUUGGGUAUGUGACAUUACCAUUUCUCUUUAUUUCUUCUUUUUUUUUUUGUCAAAAAAAAAAUUUUCUGUUUAUUCUUGUGAUGUGUAUUGCUGAGCUAUAUAAAGUCCUGUUUUCUUCGUUGUAGGAGUUUGGCACUCAUUGCCAGAGUCAUCUAAAUAUUCACAUUGGAUUUCUUUCCACGAGGAUUAACUAAUGGUUGAGGUAAUCCAAUUUAUGUUCAUCUUUCUUGUACGUAUUUUGACUAAAAUUCAUUGUUUAGUAAGAAAUAAAGAACGUGAAAUUUUUUUUGAAGUUUUGCAAUUUUCAUGGGAAUUAGAUGUCAACAACUUAGAAACUCGACCUGCUUUUGUCUCCUCCUCUCUGUCAUGGUCAAUUUCGCACACAAUUUAAAAAAUUAAAAUUCACCAAGAGACUUUUACUUCACAACAUCAAAUAUGCAUGUUUAUUGCUUCUCCGGAAAUUGUACAGAAUGACCUUUUUUUUUUAAUCUUUUUGCUAAAUCAAAUGCAAUAAUUAGGAGUUUGAAAACUCUCUGCAUCUAUGUCAUCAUCCAUGUCAUAACUCACUAAUAUGUGAUCUUGAAACCAAAUUCAAAGAAUUUCAAUUGAAACAUUAAUAUUUUGGGUAAACUUGACCUUCAAAAACCUUUACUUUGUGGAGUGACUAAGUUUAAUCCAAUCUUAAAUAGUAAGGGCAGCCACGGUUUAGGUUUGAACUAUAAUCGGAUUGGAAUAGGUCAAAUGGUUUGUUGAACUAGAACGGGAAUCAGAUUUUAGAAAGUGGAAUCAAAAUCAUAACCGUGACUAAAGAUUUAGAUUUAGAAUCACCAAAAUUUUGAACCAAAACCGGACUAGUAGUUUACAACCAUUCAGACCGUCUAAGAAAACAUUUGUUAUCUAAACUUAUUUGACUAAUUUAGAAUUUAAUAUCAAUAGUUAGCAUCUAAUAAUAGGAGCUUCAAUCCUAAUCCAACAACCCAUUGUCUCAUUCCAUUAGUAAGUCUAUACUUUAUGACUAAUCUAAAUUCUAGACAAUCUAAUCUUAUUAACAAUGAGAUAUUUUUAAUAAAAUUUGCAUUAUUUUUUCUUUUUCCUUGCACACGAUAAAGCAACAAAGUGUUUCUUUUUUUUUUUUUUAUAUUCAUUGUCAUAUUUUCUUAGAAUCAAUUUUAUAACAAUAAGUAUUUAAACUUAACUAAAAGGGUUGUACCAUGAUCAAAAGAAACCAAAACCGGAACCACAGGUUCAAGAAUUGUAGCUAUAACUAUCUUUAUAAGAAUCAGAUUAGAUUUCACCUUUAAAAAACAUCAGAACCAUCAGAUUUUAAAUUAAAACUAACAGUUCUAGAAUCGUGGCCAUGUUUACCAACUAGUAGUAAGUUUAAAUUGAGAUUUUCAAGUACUGAUUCAACCAAUUUUAGCUUUCUUCAUGUUUUUCCAGUGAAAUACACCAUUAGUUUGAAGUUAUUUUUUUUAAAAAAAAUAAAGAUCUCAAAUGACUCACUUAGAUAGGGAUCAAUACAACAUGCUACAAUGAAUUAAAACUCUAACCAGUGCUUGGUGGGACAGUUACCAUCCUUGGGCCUCAGCCUUUGACCAGCUCUCGUUAGGUAACCUAUUUCAUUGGCGAAUUAAUUUCAUCUUCAAUGCUGACCAGCACACCAAGGCCUCAUUGACGAAGCUAUUGUGCUAUCGCGCCUUUCAGGCACGUUCCUAUUGUUGGAUAGUCAGCACCACAAUAAAAUGCGAUUCGGCUUAGAUAUCCAUUUUGGUUUGAAACAACAAUUGAAACCGCUACGCAUUUGUUCAUCAAGUACCAAAAUCAUCCUCAAGCUUUUCCACAUCUCUAGAACCUUUUAACAAUUGUUAUCAGUUAAUUCACAUAUCAAAAUAUCUGAAUACCGAAAUCAAAAUGCAUAAUUUCUUGUAAACCUGCCAGCACAAACAAUAAUGGGAAGCUGAAAAAGUCCCAAAAAAGGGGAUAAUUUCAGUAAUCUUCCCUGAAGUUUCUAGCAAUUUCACUAAGCUCGCCUAAAAGUUUUUAAAAAUUAUACUUACCUCCCCUAAUUUGACACUUUUAAUAACCAAACCUAAAAACAGGGUCAAAAUUUUAAUGAAUACCCUAAAAUGCCCCUAUUUAAUAAACUUUAAUUUAUUCUUCUAAACAAUUGUAUAGUAAUUUAGUACAAUUACAAAGGAAUGAGUAUCAAAUUUUUUAUGCCCAUAUUUGUUAUUUGAUAGUCAAUUACAACGAUAUAUCUCAUUAAGAUAUGUUACUUUUAAUUGCGCUUUAUUGGAGAUAGAAAUUCUUUUAAGAUGGAGAAGAAAGUGUCACCAUAAUUUUUUUUUUAUGUUUGUGGAUUAGUUGAGUGAUGGAACCACCAAAAUUUAGUAGUGAUUUUGGAUCUUUUAAUUUUCAGUUAUUGUUAAUUUGGCUAGAAAAAAAAUACAUAAACAAUCAAAAACUACAAAAGAAUUAGACAAUAUUCAAAGUUAUCAAAACAAUAUUACUAGUUCGACAUUUUAUCAUGAUGGAGCCCUAGGAACUAAUAGUAAUAUGAUUUUGCUAGCAAAAUAUAAGAGUAAUGGAUAAGAAGGGAAAUAGAAAAAAUAUAAAUAUAAAACCCAUCCUAAAUAUAUAGCGCAAAGUGACAAAUGAAAGAAUUUCAUUAGAAUGUUAAACCUGGUAUUGCAUUUUAAGUGAACAAGGGAAGUAAGUUGUCAUUUUACACGAACAAGAUAGGUGGAUAUAAUUUUUGAAACAUCAAGAUUGCCAAGUGAAAUUGUCGGAAACCUAAAGGGAGGUUUCUGAAAUUAUCCUCCAAAAAAAGGUGCAAAAGCUAACAUAUUGAAAUUGCACUUUUCCAAUCAAACAAAAAGCUCUUUUCUUGCCCGUUCAAUAGGACUUGUGGCACCAAGAGCAGGUUGGGACAAGUAAUAUUAGUGAUUAAUUCGGAUUAAUACUAGACCCAUUCAGACCACCACAGACCUUUUACAAUUACUCUAACAAUCUUGCAAAAAUUUUGCAUGCAACCACUAUAAGGCUGAUCUGUAAUAUUGAGAGAAUCCCCAAAAUUUGCAGAAAAAAUUGCAGGGGAUUAUAUUUACUGAGAUGGUAAAGUAUGUACAACGUCUGUUAAGUAUAAAAGAAUGAUUCAACUCCAAAAAUUACGAAACAUUACCAUUUUCUUUCCCCUCUUGAGAUUUACCAUGAGAAGAACCAUCUUGUUCGCCUUGCUGUUCAAAGUGGCAGAUCUUAUCAUUGUUCUCCCUAGCUCCUGAGAAUUUGAGUGCAAACAAUCAUCAUCAUCUCCCAUCCCACAAAGUCUGCAAGGAUUUGAGGAUCUCUGAGAGCACCAAUGGUCAGGAACACUGAGGAAAUGCGUAUCGAUAAACUUUCUGAAUCGCUUUUUGUACUCUUUGGGAGAGAUGAUAGUUGGCUGCUGGUUCUUGGGUACAAGGGAUGACUUGACCCAAUUCUCAAGUUGUUUGUCCCAGGUGUAUGCCUCAGAUAAUCAAUGAUCCCACACACCAAUUCACGCUUCUGAGCAUCCACUCCCACUAGCAAAGAAUAAUCCAUAACAUUGAUAGACUGAAAGGAAAAAACAAAGACAAGCAAUCAGCAGCUAAACACUGCAUCAUGCAUGACACCUGGGCAGUUGAAAGAGUAAAAUAAUCUGACAUACAGGUCAGCAUGUAGUAGCAUAGAUUACCGGAACAAAUUAUACAAACUCACCUGGAGGAAAUUAGUGUCAUUCCAGACAGCCCGUUGCAGAAUUCGCUUUGAUUUCCUACUAACAUAGAGAGGAGAAACAUUCAUGUCAUUAACAAAGUUUUGGUCCAAAAGAACAUCAUCAGCAUUUCCUGUUGAAUUAAAUCGAGCAUGCAAGGCGCCUUUAAGAUCGUAUUGGCGUUGAUAUUUCGACCAAAAGAAAGGUUCUCCAUCACCAUUAGAUCAUGUCUUGUCUCUUUCCCAUUUUUUGUUUGUCUAAUGGUUACCUGCAUCACAAAAAAAUUCAUUAUGACAUUAGAGAAAAGAAAAACUUCACCUCAUUUUGCUGGCUAUACAAGAUGAUGUAAACAGACCAACCUGGUAAAUGCCAAGAAUUUUUGCAAGGCAGGUCUGGUUCCCAAGUUCAUAGCAUUCAUUCAUAUACUCGAAGUAAUUUGAAGCAAACUUCAAGAAAGCUUCAAACUCAGUCCUCUUAAUUUCUUUUAUGAUGAACCUAUCAUCUAGAGUUUUAGCAAAGAAAGAUUUACUCUUCCCACCUUUGGCAUCCCAGUUCCUGCAACGACUUAGGGAAGCAAUAUAAUCAAUUUCAGAUGGACAACAUCGAUUUCGCAGAUGGCGAAAUUGGCUGGAAUAUAAGCAUAUCACAGAGUAUUUUCG